rnacentral:lncRNA from 1 species
GUCCAGUCCCUGGAAGAUGAAGUUAGUUAGCAUUUGGUGCCCAGCCAGCAGCAAUGUGACUUAGGCUUUUCGUCCUAGUAGGAAUUUGACUCAUUGGGCCUGCAAAAGAUUUUCGUGACAAAUGAAAUAUUUUUCUAAACCAAGGACUUGGGGAUAACUUCAGGGUCAAAGACAUCUUAUCAUAUUUAAGCCACAGGAUGUCUAGGAGCCAGCAGAGGGGCCAGAUAUGCUGCAGUUUAUGCUGUAAAAGGAAGCCUGCCGCCGUGAGUGGUCCAGUGGGAGCUCUUGCUUUGUGUCCUCAGCCUUUCACCUUUCCAUCUGAUGACUUGCUCUGAAUCUUCACUUCCUGGGCAGAGCUCUGAGUAUAGAUGAGGCAAACUUCACAUGGAAAAGAAGCCAUAUUUUGAAAAAACUACACGGAAUCAAAGAGAACUAACUCAAAGAAGCAAAAUUUUGGAGAUAAAACAAGCACCAUUCAGAAUCUGGACAUAUAAUAUGUUUAUGGCAUUUAACCUAGUCAGACAGUAGAUAUUGCUCUAAGUCAUGGCCUACACCUGUGAGCCUACUUAUAUCAGCAUUUGCCAAAUGUACUUGUAGCUGUGGUACUGACCUCAGAGAACUUAGCCAAAGAGCAAAGACUGCCUAAUUCAAGAAGUACUGGCUGUACAGGAAGCAUAAUGCCAGCAUCUGUUUCUGGUGAGGCCUCAGGAAGCUUUUACUUAUGGUGGAAGGUGAAGGAGGAACAGGUGUCUCACAGGGCAAGAGGAGCAAGAGGGAGCAGAGAAGAUGUUCCAGGAUUACUUCAUGCUGUCCAGGUCCUAGACAUGGAAUCGUUUGCUUCUUCAAAAGUCUGGAUCCCUUUAAGAUACGAAAUGUAUUUAGAAACCAAAGUAUGGAUGCUAGGUGUGCUCAUGGCCAUUGGAGUGUGUUUCUAGACCCAGGAAUAAGCAAACAAUGGCCUGUAAACUAUAUCCUGUCUGUGGCCUGUUUUUGUACAUCCUAAGAACUAAAAAUUAUUUUAAAAAUUGUAAAUGGGAAAAAGUCAACAACAACAAACAAAUCAACAAAUAACCCCACAAAUAAACAGUUUCUUAAAGACCAGAAUGACCAAGAAAUCUAUGAAACAGAGACCGUAUACUGCCCAG